GAAAUCCUAUAAAUGAAUAGCAGCUGAAAGGAAGAGAUGUGAUGCUUCAAAUAAGAUAGCUUGAUGCACAUAUUUUUGCUUAUAAAAAAUUAAAAGAAGAAAAAGAAAGGAUAGCUUGAUGCAACAGUGAUUAAUUUGCUGCAAACUUCUUUAAAAUGCCUUUUGUAUACAAUCCAUUUUUGGUAUCCAUUUCUGGUACUUUACAGAAUAUUUCAAACUUUCUUCUCUUUCUUCAUUUCAAGUCCAUAACCCGUUCUCCGUCCUACCCCCAAUCCCCACUUUACUCCCAAACCAACCAAAAAGGAAAAUUAUGAUGCCAUAAGAAUUGGGUGAUGGCGUCCCAAA
rnacentral:misc_RNA from 1 species